rnacentral:rRNA from 1 species
AAUCGACGCUUAUGGGAUACCAUGAAAGGCGUUGGUAACUUAAGACAGCAGGACGGUGGCCAUGGAAGUCGGA